rnacentral:rRNA from 1 species
UACGUAGGGGGCAAGCGUUGUCCGGAAUUAUUGGGCGUAAAGAGCGUGUAGGCGGUCCGGUAAGUCAGCUGUGAAAGUCAAGGGCUCAACCCUUGAAUGCCGGUUGAUACUGUCGGGCUAGAGUCCGGAAGAGGCGAGUGGAAUUCCCGGUGUAGUGGUGAAAUGCGCAGAUAUCGGGAGGAACACCAAUGGCGAAGGCAGCUCGCUGGGACGGUACUGACGCUGAGACGCGAAAGCGUGGGGAGCAAACAGG